UUUAGUUAUGUUCCACCUUAUGAAUAAGAGCUGUCCGUACGGGAACUGGACGUCUGAAGCAAGCAUUCACUGUCCUAACCCUGAAUAUUUCCAUUGUAUUAAAGAUGAAAAUGAUAGAAUUGGAUGGGUGUGUAUACAACCGAUAUGGGUUGAAAAAGGUAAAUGUGCCAUGUAUAACACUGGUGCCAGAACAUUAGACCUCACAUCUUGUACACAAAGCAAAUGUCCACAACAAGACUACCGAUCUAAUGACAUUGAUAUCGAAUUUGCCUGCAAAUAUUGAUACAGGAAUAGUUUCAGACCCACAACAACGUUCCCUUCCUCAAUUACCAAUGCUUCUUCUGAGACGAAUAACAACAGCCCAAUGUUAUGGAUCAUCCUUAUUGUUUGUUGGUUCUAGUGGUAGUUAUAGCAGGCGUUGUAGCUGCCACGGUGUUGUUAUACAAACGUCGCCAAAAAUCUCCACAAAAUGAUGACAUCGGACUGGAAGAGACCAAAGAUCUUCUCAGUGAUAGAGCUGGUAAAUCUAACAGGGCAGAAGAACAAUCAUACUCGUUUCAGCAAGCUAGGAGAUGUCUAGACCAGAAAAGAAUGGUUGUCAUAACUGGUGUUCAGGGAUCUGGUAAAACAUUUCUAGCGAAAUCGCUAGUAACUUAUCUGAAAAAGAAUGGAACCGAAACGAAAAGCGUUUGGAUUUCUAAUUACGUGG